UGUUUUUUAAUUAUUUUUUUUUUUCUGCCUAAAUUUGUUUCUUGCGUAGUAUUGUUGUUUAAUAAGUUGUCGCUUAGAUAUUUGGAAUAUGAUUAUUGUUUAGUUUAUACGCUUUAAAAAUUUACAACCGCGUAACAAAAUACUUUACGUUGUAAGAGUUAUCUCCCCAAACACUGUUUUUCUUGUGGCCACUACUCCUUCGCAACCGUUUAAGAUUACGACAAAUUUAUUUUACCAAAUUGCUCGUUACAUCUUCAGGAUUAGGAUAUUCAUUUGGACCGAAGCUUUACGGAGACUCCAUAUGAGAGUUAUCCCCC
rnacentral:lncRNA from 1 species